UCCCUGAUGGUCUAGUGGUUAGGUCUCGGUGCUUUCACCACUGCAGCGUGGGUUCAAUCCCUGAUCUGGGAA
rnacentral:tRNA from 1 species